UUUUUAGCAGAGACGGGGUUUCACCCUGUUAGCCAGGAUGGUCUCAUCUCCUGACCUCGUGAUCCGCCCGCCUAGGCCUCCCAAAGUGCUGGGAUUACAGGCGUGAGCCACCGCGCCCGGCCUAAUAAAGGACAAUUUUUAAUAGCCACUGGACUAUUUAAGUGAUCUCUUCUGUCAGUUUCUUUUACCAUCAGAGGACACAGCAGCAAGGUGCCAUCCUAGAAGCAGAGAGCAGACCCUUACCAGACAACCAACCAGCUGGUGCCAUGAUCUUGGACUUCUCGGCCUCCAGAACUGCACUUAAACACGCAGCAUGAGGAAAAUGGAACAACAAUCUUGAGGUGCCUUCUGAAUCAUCAGAUUAAAUUAUGCUUCGGUCUUGCACUGCUGCCUAGGCUAGAGUGCAGUGGUGCAAUCAGGGCUCACUGCAGCCUCACUCAACUUCCCAGUCUCAAGCCAUCCUCCUACCUCAGCCUCUGUUCCACUAAUCUACUUGUCAAUUUUUCCAGCAACACCACACCCUCCUGAUCACCAUAGCUUUAUGCAACAACAAGAAACAAAUUUAUUAGCUAACCUAACCACUAAUGACGCAAGAGACAAUUCUAAGGACUUUCAAAACAGCAAAGUAGGAGCAGCUGCUACCUCUAGGGAUGAGGGAGAAACUCAAAAAUGCAUACAAAAACCAUUGCAUGAAAAGUGACUGGAUUUGUACAUAGCGUCAGGAGAUGUGCGUAGUGUCAAAGUAUCUCAUCACACAUUACUUGAUAAUUACAAAUGAGAAAAAUGAACCUUCACAGUGGCAAGACUUGACUUCUACCUCUUUCAAAAAGAUGCAAUUGUCCAAUUAUUGGUGAAAUUGUCAUUUCAUGCUAUUGGCUAUUUGAAAUUCCUCCUCUAAUUUCCUUUUCCUGAAGCCUUUCUGGCCUUCUAACUCUGGCUGAAGACCACCUAAAGAAGGAGAAGGAUGUGACUUAGGGGUAGUUUCUUCUAGAAAGAUAAAGGAGGAGAACAUCUAGUGUUGACUUGGAAGUGGGAAUAUUCAAGGAGAGAGAGAGAGAGAAAGAGAGAAUUCCAACUUCUAACCUCCUUCGUUUGAAACUCAUAGGAGUUCAGAAUAAAUCACUGAAAUUGACAUCGGCCAGUCUGAAUUUCAAGAAAUUACCUGCUGAAGACAAGAGGGAUCUCUUCUUCAGAUUUGCAGUCUGGGGAAGACACAGCCUCUACUGUACUUUAGAACCUGAGAUAUGGUGGUGGAGGGAGCCCUGGGUCGAGUGGUAAGAUUCACCCUUAGGUUAGUAUUGACGUAAGGUGACGAGGAGCUGUAGACAAAAGAUUGUAACCAUAAGAACUUCAUAGUUUUUGUAUUUUCACCGAGCUUAUAUUUGGUGUGUUUUUUGUCUUUUCUUUAUGAUUAUCAAUAAAAUGCUUGAAAG
rnacentral:lncRNA from 1 species